UUGGCUUAGAAGCAGCCAUCCUUGAAAGAGUGCGUAAUAGCUCACUGGUCAAGUGAUCGUGCGCCGACAAUGUAGCGGGGCUCAAGCACACCGCCGAAGCCGCGGACCCAUGACAUGGUUCCCUUCAUCGUGCGCCUUGUGCGUGUGGUGGCAGGGGUUGUGGGUGGUAGGGGAGCGUCCUGCACCGGGGGAAGCCUGUGGGUGACUGCUGGUGGACGGUGCGGGAGUGAGAAUGCAGGCAUGAGUAGCGAUACUAGGGUGAGAAGCCCUAGCGCCGAAUGACCAAGGGUUCCAGGGCCAGGCUAGUCCGCCCUGGGUGAGUCGGGACCUAAGGCGAGGCCGACAGGCGUAGUCGAUGGAUGACGGGUUGAUAUUCCCGUACCGGCGAAGCACCGCCCAUGCUGACGCGCGGGUGCUAACCCACGCCCAGCCACCAAGUUCAGCUGCGCCUACUCCUUUCGGGGGGUGGUGUGGUUGUGGUGGUGGGGUCUGGGGAUCCUCCGUGCAGGUAGGCAAGCGUGUUAACAGGGGUGACGCACAGUGGUAGCCCGGCGGACCUGAUGGCUUGGUCCGUUCAAGCGCGCAGCCCGUCUCCCAGGUAAAUCCGGGGGACUGUCUUUGAUGACGGGGGUGAGGCGUGAUGGUGACCCCACGCUGGUGGGGGAUAACAGGGUGAUCCUGGGGUGCCGAGAAAAGCCUCGACGCGAUGGUGCCAGCCGCCCGUACCCUAAACCGACACAGGUGGUCGGGCAGAGUAUGCCUAGGCGCACGAGUGAAUCAUGGUUAAGGAACUCGGCAAAAUGCCCCCGUAACUUCGGGAGAAGGGGGGCCCGAACCCUGAAACGGCUGGCCCGUUAGGGGGGUGGGCCGCAGAGAGCAGGGGGGAGCGACUGUUUACUAAAAACACAGGUCCGUGCGAAGCCGUAAGGCGAUGUAUACGGACUGACGCCUGCCCGGUGCUGGAAGGUUAAGAGGAACCAUCAACCCCCUUGUGGGGUGAAGUGGUGAAUUUAAGCCCCAGUAAACGGCGGUGGUAACUAUAACCAUCCUAAGGUAGCGAAAUUCCUUGUCGGGUAAGUUCCGACCUGCACGAAUGGCGUAACGACUUCCCCGCUGUCUCAACCAUGAGCUCGGCGAAAUUGCAGUACGAGUAAAGAUGCUCGUUUCGCGCAGAAGGACGGAAAGACCCCGGGACCUUUACUACAGCUUGGUAUUGGCGCCCGCUAUAGCUUGUGCAGGAUAGGUGGGAGACUGUGAAGCCGUUACGCCAGUGGCGGUGGAGUCGUCCUUGAAAUACCACUCUGGUUAUGGCGUGCGCCUGAACCUGGGCCCGUGAUCCGGGUUAGGGACAGUGCCUGGUGGGUAGUUUAACUGGGGCGGUUGCCUCCUAAAGUGUAACGGAGGCGCUCAAAGGUUCCCUCAGCCUGGUCGGCAACCAGGUGUUGAGUGCAAGUGCACAAGGGAGCUUGACUGUGAGACUGACGGGUCGAGCAGGUACGAAAGUAGGAACUAGUGAUCCGGCGAUCCCGUGUGGGUGGGUCGUCGCUCAACGGAUAAAAGGUACCCCGGGGAUAACAGGCUGAUCCUGCC
rnacentral:rRNA from 1 species